AAUAGGAGGAGGAUCACUGUUCCUCUGGACCCCAUUGGAAGCUCCUACUUGUCUUCCAGGAACAGAAAGGAGGAACCUGAAGAGUUGAAGGAAUACGAUGCAAAGUGAUCAAACUAACAGAUUACAUAUACCAUUAAAAAGGACACCUAAUGUUGUUUUGGUCCUUUUUCGCUUGUGUGUUUUUUUUAAUUUUUUUUAUCUAUUUUAUUGAACUUUUGGUUUCUAUUAAGUCAUUGGAUCUCAGGUUUAUAAACUGUGACUUAUUUAUUUGUAUUUAUGUUUUUCCAAUAUUAGCUUACCAGCUCCCUCUAGUGGUAUGCAAACUGACAGACGCUGUACUGGUGUUGCUGCAAAAUAAAAUGUACAUGGAUAAACUAUUCAAUCAUAUCUAAUGUUCUUUCAACUUAUUUUAAAUCACAAAAUACAUGACGCAUCUCAACACAAAAGUUAGAUUAGGAAAAUAAGACAUUCUAACCCCAAUAAAGAAAAGUUUUAUUUCUCCGGGUAGUUAAAGAAAACAAUAUCAGAUGCAAAAAAAAAAAAAAAA